CAGUAUAGUGCUACCUCCCCGUGGUGCUGCCUGGGAUCACUAGUAUAUGCAUUGUAUAGGUACUGCUAGUGAUGCUAAAAGCGCUAUAAGAAAACAAGAGAGCUGAAAUGAGCUCAAGAGAUUGUGUCACAGUGACUAACAUUAUUACAACUAUUAUACUCAAGUUUGUUGAUGCUAAGAGACUACAAGGCUAUAACAAGAUUACAUGCUACCAGUCUUAGCCCCAUAGAAAGAUAAAUGUGAAGCUAAAGACAUAGAUAUUAAAAUUUCCUUUCUCUCUCUUUUACUUUUACUUAUUGGACAUCAAUUUAUUUUGCUUGUUUAAAUACAUUUUUGAUUUAAUUUA